GUCUACAGUGACGUCACGUGUGACCUCACCUGGUGUCGGCGUUCUCCGUCCUUGCUGGCGUCUCGCUCGCCCGCUCUGUCGCCCAGCUGGUUGAUCCACAGACUGUUAGCAGGAGGAGCCGCAGGCUGCUGCGUUCCCAUGCAGACAGAACAUCAUCACAAACAUCCACAUCCUGGAACACAAAUGGGUCGGUCCUGAUGGUCCAGUUCUGUCCUGAUGGUCCAGUUCUGUCCUGAUGGUCCAGGUCCUGAUGGUUCUGUCCUUAUAGUCCGGGUCGGUCUGGGGUUCUGAAGGUUCUUUGUGUCUUUUAUUGUCCCUCCAGCAGGAAGUGACCCGUCAUCAUCUCCUCCUCUGUCCCCGCCCCCCUCCUACUGACCGCCGCCGCCCGACACAAACAACCAGAUUUAUGAUUUCUGUCUUUUGAACCAAUCAACUGUCAUGACAUCACUUCCUGUUCAUGUCUCCACGUGUCUGAUUGACGAGCUGAUGACAACAACACGCCAACAACACGCCAACAACACGCCAACAGCUGACAGUAAACACAUUUCACAACACACACACACAGAGA